GCCUUGAUAUUUAGCAUGUU
rnacentral:piRNA from 1 species